rnacentral:rRNA from 1 species
GGAUCUAUCGGGCCCGGCAUCUAUUUUUUAACCAACCUAACUCCAGAUCUAUCGGGCCCGGCAUCUAUUGUUUAACCGACCUAACUCUGGUUCUUUCCCGAGGUCAGUUUGGGGUCGUCAAAGGAAUGGGGUUGCCAUAGGAAUGGGGUUGUCAAAGGAAUGGGGUCGUCAAAGGAAUGGGGUUGCCAUAGGAAUGGGGUUGUCAAAGGAAUGGAAUGGGGUUGUCAAAGGAACGGGUGACGCGUGGGGUUUAAUCAGAUUAUACACCGUGAAUCUCACCAGGAGCGACAGCAGAAUGAAGGUCAGUCUAAAGGGCUUACCUGACGCGCUGAGAGGAGUUGCAUGGCCGACAUAAGCCUGUGCCGUGAGGUGACUUGUUAAAUCAAGUAACAGGCGAGACCCUCGUGUCUAAUUUCUACGAAAGAGCACAUUAGACAGACUGCCUUGGUAACAAGGAGGAAGGUGAGGGCAAUGUUAGGUGAGUACAGCCCGAAUCCCCUGGGCAACACGCGCGCGGCAAUGUUACGUUCAAUGAGAUGCGACUCUGAAAAGAGAAGCCAAUCUCCUAAAGCGUAGCUUAGUACAGAUUGAGGUUUGUAACCCAACCUCAUGACGAUGGAAUCCGUAGUAAUCGGGUGUUAUCAACGCCCGGUGAAUAUGUCACGGCCUCUUGCACACACUGCCCGUCAAACCAACCGAGUUGUGCUUUGGUGAAGUCCUUCGGGAAUGAAUCUCGGUACGACAAGGUAGGUUAAGUCGUCACAAGGUAUCUGUAGGGGAACCUGCAGAGG